UACGAAGGGGCUAGCGUUGUUCGGAAUUACUGGGCGUAAAGGCUCGUAGGUGGCCAACUAAGUCAGACGUGAAAUCCCUCGGCUUAACCGGGAACUGCGUCUGAUACUGGAUGGCUUGAGGUUGGGAGAGGGAUGCGGAAUUCCAGGUGUAGCGGUGAAAUGCGUUGAUAUCAUCAGGAACACCGGAGGCGAAGGCGGCUCACUGGGGAUUUCUGACGCUGAGGAACGAAAGCCAGGGAGCGAACGGG
rnacentral:rRNA from 1 species